UGAGUUUUGUUUGUAGGUUCUUUCAAAUAUUUUUGUAUAGUUGUACUGAAGCACUGCUACAACUACUUAGUGAGCAAAUACACACGUUUUGUUGUUGUUUUUGGUUUGUUUUGUUUUUUGUGACAGACACUAUACAUAGCUUUAGCUUACCUGACUUUAUUCUUAAAGUGCCUGCUAAAUAUAUUUUUGUAUUUGUGUUCUGUUUAUAUUUGUAUGUCGGCGUAGACCUGUGAAAUGUUUCCAUAAGGAAAAUGCCCCCACUAAAUACGACACAAGUGUAGCCACACCAAGAACGAGCGCGCGCGCCACCUCCCUCUGCUCUCUGAGCAGUUAGAAAUUCAAAACCCAACCGCCUCGCUCAAUCUCCCGUCCUGCAUCGCGGCCCCGAAAGCCUGUGACGGUUCUUUUAAUUUAGAAUAAAAAUUUAAAAUAAAUCACAGAAGGCAUAUUAUUCGAAAAUAUUACCAGGACUCGAUUGUGCUCAACCACACGCACAUUUUCAUGCGUUUAAAACAACGAUAAGUGUUUAUUUCAAUUUCUAUUUAUUUUUUUUGCGUGUGUGACGGGUGCGAGUGUGUGUGUAGCAGAGGAGCACAGUGGUUGGCGCCACAUUCAAAUCCUCCACUGACACAGAAUGAGAGUCUGACUUCAAAUUCAUUACACAGCAGAUUGUUUACUUUUUUUAAGGACACGUAACAUUACAGCAAUACAAGGAUUACUGACACGUCAUUUAUUAUUUGGAUUAUUUUUCUUCCGAAGAGUCUCUUUCAUAACAUUUUGUUGAAGAUGGAGGCAAAGAGCAUAUAUGCCCAGGGGGCGCUCUAGCAGCACAUCAUGAUUUGCAGAUCUGAACUUGAAUCACUCCAAAUCAUUGUGUGCUGCCACUGUGAACCCUGGCUCCACAGCGCCCCCCCAGGAGCUGCUGUACUCCAUGUUUCUUAUACUUAUGACUUAAGUGACUGGCUACUUCCUUUGAAAGGUAAACGCUAUAGGAGCUGGUCGUUGCUCUGCGUGAUUUUUAUUGAAUUUUUUCCCCCCAGUUUUUCUCUUGUAAACCAAGAGUAUUUUCUUCUUGUCAGUAUCAGUUUUUCAACGUAUUUCUUAUGCUGUGUAUUUUAAAUAUGAUGGAACUGAGCAAAUGAGAAACUAGACGAAGUUUUAACACCGGACGCUGACAUAUUCUGACUUCCAGGUUUUUUGUUUUGUUUUGUUUGGGGGGUUGUUUGUUUUUGAUGUUUAUAGCUUGUGGGUUUGUUUGUUUUUGAUGUUUAUAGCUUGUACCAAGUGUCUACCAGGAAAAUUGUAAUUAUUCUUUUUAGACUUAGAACCCAGCUGCAAAGCUUCAUCUCCAUGUGGCGACACAUGCUAUUUCUGGCUCUUUUGUUAAUCAUUUUAGAAUUAAAACCAGUUCUAGAUAUCAGAGUUGAAUUUAACAAAUAUUAUACAGUAUAAUACCUAUUAGACCUAGGUAGACUAGAGCGUUUUGUUGUUUUUUUUUUCACGGGAGGGGUGUAAAGCAUUUCCAAACUACUGUAUAUUUUAGUUAAAGACUACGUGGUGGCGUGGUGGUUGGCCCACUUGCCAUACAGCAAUUAGACCUCUGGUUCACCAUUCACCACAUGCCUUUUUACACAGCGCUGCACGUUCUCUGCAUGUGUGCAUUGGAUUUUUCUAGCCAAUUGCACUCCCCCAGCUAAACAAUGCAUGAAUGUGAGCCUGAAAGGUUUGUGUUUUUCGGACCAGGACAUUUUUUUGGAGUAAUUGUUAGUAGUGUGAGAAGCAGCAAUCACCAAUAAGCAAA